AUUGAACGCUGGCGGCAGGCCUAACACAUGCAAGUCGAACGAGUGGCGGACGGGUGAGUAAUGUCUGGGAAACUGCCUGAUGGAGGGGGAUAACUACUGGAAACGGUAGAUAAUACCGCAUACCCUCAGAUGUGCCCAGAUGGGAUUAGCGAGUUGGUGGGGUAACGGCUCACCAAGGCGACGAUCCCUAGCUGGUCGGAGAGGAUGACCAGCGAAACUGGAACUGAGACACGGUCCAAAGUCCUACGAGAGGCAUCAGUGGGGAAUAUUGGACAAUGGGCGAAAGCCUGAUGCAGCCAUGCCGCGUGUAUGAAGAAGGCCUUCGGGUUGUAAAGUACUUUCAGCGGGGAGGCGUUACCCGCAGAAGAAGCACCGGCUAACUCCGUGCCAGCAGCCGCGGUAAUAC
rnacentral:rRNA from 1 species